UGGGCAUGUUUCUGAAAUUCGAU
rnacentral:miRNA from 1 species